AUUUUGCCCUGCCUUGCCUUUCCUACAGAUACUCCCUUAAAGGCCGUAGCGUAAGUGCUAACCACACUCCUGUCAACUGCCUCCUGAUCAAAACCUGACGUUCUUCCUGUGGCCCUGCCUGAGGAAAGCAACAUCUUGAAUCAGAAUUGUUCUUACUUGGCUCAGCAACUGAUAACAGAGAUUAAGGAGGAAACAAUCAUGAAACACUACAUAAUCAGAAAUAAUGACCAAAAAUGGGAUGAAUCUCAUUAAAACCUCUACCUGUGCAAAGAAGAAACUUAUAAAAAAAAAUUAGCCUUUACUCUUGUGCCUUUUCAACCAUUAUUUUUCAUCAUUGUGACUGCCUUUUACUUUUUAAAAUCUAAAGUUUCUUCUAUCCAAAGUCAGUGAAAUAUUCCAAUAAAUUAAAGAUAAAUUCAGGAUUAUAGGUUGAGCUAGAAACUCCUUUUUUUUUUUUUUUUUAAAGUAAUCUCUACCCCUAACUCAGGCAUUGAAUUCAUGACCCCAAGACCAAGAGUUGCAUGCUUUACUGACUGAGCCAGCCAGGAGCCCUA
rnacentral:lncRNA from 1 species